CAGCAGCCGCGGUAAUACGUAGGUGGCAAGCGUUGUCCGGAAUUAUUGGGCGUAAAGGGCUCGCAGGCGGUUUCUUAAGUCUGAUGUGAAAGCCCCCGGCUCAACCGGGGAGGGUCGUUGGAAACUGGGAAACUUGAGUGCAGAAGAGGAGAGUGGAAUUCCACGUGUAGCGGUGAAAUGCGUAGAGAUGUGGAGGAACACCAGUGGCGAAGGCGACUCUCUGGUCUGUAACUGACGCUGAGGAGCGAAAGCGUGGGGAGCGAACAGGAUUAGAGACCCCAGUAGUCCCUGUCUCUUAUAC
rnacentral:rRNA from 1 species